GAGCGGGUGGGCGGAGCCGACCGGACCACGUGACUGGCCCCAGCCAGGGGCCGGGACUUCUUCAGUCAGGCUGGCGGCUCCUGUUCGCGGCGCUCCUGUGGCGACACCGGGUCCACAGCAGGGAGGACGAAUAGGACAGGUCAUAGGGACUGAAUUCUACCUUUGGAUUGAGAUUGCUUUCUUGAUAGUGUACUUGAUCUCUUCCCACCUCCAGCUUUCUCCGAUUGCCUCUGGUGCCUCCUGAAGAACUACCAUGUCUGGGAACAGUGAAUUUUCCUCAGAUCACAGAAGCAGCAGUACCAGCUCUAAAUCCCACACCACAAACCUUCGAAAGGCAGGGAAGACAUGCUCAUGGGCUUCCUACAUGACCAACUCUCCAACUCUCAUUGUCAUGAUUGGUUUGCCAGCCCGGGGUAAAACUUAUGUGUCCAAGAAACUAACACGUUACCUCAACUGGAUUGGUGUACCCACCAAAGUGUUUAAUCUUGGGGUAUAUCGGCGUGAAGCAGUCAAGUCCUAUAAGUCUUAUGACUUCUUCAGACAUGACAAUGAAGAGGCUAUGAAGAUCCGCAAACAGUGUGCUCUGGUGGCACUGGAAGAUGUUAAGUCCUAUUUUACUGAAGAGAGUGGGCAGAUUGCGGUGUUUGAUGCCACCAAUACUACUCGGGAGAGGAGGGACAUGAUUUUGAACUUUGCCAAGGAGAAUGCCUUCAAGGUAUUCUUUGUGGAAUCUGUCUGCGAUGAUCCUGAUGUCAUUGCUGCCAAUAUUCUGGAGGUAAAAGUGUCAAGUCCUGACUACCCUGAAAGAAAUAGGGAGAAUGUGAUGGAGGACUUCCUGAAGAGAAUUGAGUGCUACAAAGUUACUUAUCAGCCCCUUGACCCAGACAACUAUGAUAAGGAUCUUUCUUUCAUCAAGGUGAUAAAUGUAGGCCAGAGAUUUCUGGUCAACAGAGUACAGGACUACAUCCAGAGUAAGAUUGUCUACUAUCUUAUGAAUAUCCAUGUCCAGCCUCGCACCAUCUACCUUUGCCGGCAUGGAGAGAGCGAAUUCAAUCUUUUGGGAAAGAUUGGGGGUGACUCUGGCCUUUCAUUUCGAGGAAAGCAGUUUUCUCAGGCUCUGAAGAAGUUUCUGGAGGAACAGGAGAUCCAGGACCUCAAAGUGUGGACAAGCCAGUUGAAGAGAACAAUUCAGACAGCUGAGUCCCUUGGGGUCACCUAUGAGCAGUGGAAGAUCCUAAAUGAGAUCGAUGCUGGCGUGUGUGAGGAGAUGACAUAUUCGGAGAUUGAGAAACAGUACCCAGAGGAAUUUGCACUUCGAGAUCAAGAGAAGUAUCUGUAUCGAUAUCCUGGUGGGGAGUCAUACCAGGACCUGGUGCAGCGGCUGGAGCCUGUCAUCAUGGAGCUGGAGCGUCAGGGCAACAUCCUUGUCAUCUCCCACCAGGCUGUCAUGCGCUGCCUACUGGCCUACUUCUUGGAUAAAGGCGCAGAUGAGUUACCAUACUUGCGGUGUCCUCUCCACACCAUCUUCAAGCUUACUCCUGUGGCCUACGGCUGCAAAGUGGAAACAAUUAAACUGAAUGUGGAAGCUGUGGACACACAUCGUGACAAGCCAACUGAAGUGGAGACUGUGCUGACUGAGCAUAGACGCCCCUCAAUGGCAUCUCUCAGAUUACUCUCCUGAUGUGAGGCUGAGGCCAGACCUCUCCGAGGAACUGGAACUACUAAAAGACUUGGGAUACCAGCAUCAUUGAGGCUAGAACAGGAAGUUAAGUGGGAGCUUCUCAUUUGAGGCUACCAAAAGCAAGGCCUGGAAAACCUUCAUUACAUUUUUCCCCUCAUGCCUAGCAGGAACGUUACUACAUUGUUCCUCAAAAUGUCUUUAACAGCCUGAAUGAGUUAGUCUUUAUCUCUUUUGACUCAAGUUUGCAAAUACCAUUCUAUUUAGGCAUUCAAUAUUCUACUCUGGCUGACUUACUGUAUCCUUAGCUGUAGAUUUGCCUAACAUGGGAAUGCACUGCUUCGAAGUUGGUUUCUAGGUGAGGACGAACUUCAGGAAGCCCUUUCUGCUCAGUGAGAAUUGUUCUUUGUGUCUUUUGGCAGUGAACAGGCUGAAGUGCAGCAUGAGUGCUAGCUGUCACCUUUCGCAGUGUGGGAAAUGAGACAGAGCACCAGGCCAAAGGAAGGUGUUAGGAACUCAGCCCUGAAUGGUUCUUCUCUGCCGACAGAAGAGUAGUGUCCACAGCCCCUUUUCAUUUAGAGCAGCUUUUCUUCCAUGCACUUCGGUGCAGGGUCUGGGUGCCAGACUUCCCAAAGGGGCCUGGCCUUCACAUCCUCUCACAGCUACUGUGUUUUCUCUCUGAGGCUUGUACCUCACAUAACCUCCUGAGGGGUUGGGAAUGAAGGCAAGGUGGGACCAUCUCCCUCCCAUAAGGAAAUAAAAGUAACUUCUUGAGAAUAAAUUAAACUGGGGAUUUUUUUUUUUUUUUAAUUUUAAAAUAGGCAGAGGCAGACAUGCCCCUUGCAUCCAUCUCUGGGAUCUCUGGGAAACCGUGGCUGUGACUGCAAUAGGUGCCUGUUCUAGCUGUCACUGUUGUGAGCAGCUCAUCUCCCAUGACACUUGAUGCAGCAUGGCCUCAGGGCAUUAGUGAGUGGAUGCUCCUUCUGGAUGAAUCAGAUUGCUGUUCCUAAAUCAUUGAGUAUGUGUACACACUGUCACUGCAAAUACACUCCUAGUAUGUUAUUUUCCUGAAGAAGAAUGUGGAAGUCACAAAGAGUAUUGUACCUUACAAGUAGAAUCUGUGGGGUUUUUUUUUUCCUUUUAUUUUUGUUUGUUUCCUUUUCACUUGAAAUGCUUACUUGUUGGGCAGAAAGAUAAGUAGCAAGACAAGUCAUGAAAUGUGCUUUUUCUAAAUGGUUCUUUUAUAUUGUAGAUAAUACUGGAGACUAUUACCUAAGUAGGGUGUGAUGAACUGCGGGCAGUUCAGUGUCUUCCAACUUGUACCUUACUGUAUAUGUACACGCAUCACCUUGAGAGAGUCUCUUGCCCUGCUUAAUGCCGAUGAUUUUCCCAGGGCUGCUUGCAGCAUGCUGUGCUACAAGGGUUUUGUUUUUGUGGUACAAGCUGCUUUCUGCAUUGAAGUAUACUCGUUUCUGAUGAUCAGAUGGUAUUUUUAUGAAGCUAUUUAUUUUGUGUGAGGAGUGUGCAUGUAUUUAAUCAGAAUGUAAUUUAUGUUCUCAGUUUUCCACCAGCAGUGUAGGUGGCUUGGAUACUGAGCCUGAUGUACGUAGUAUUACCUUAAGUUAAAUUUGUAAAUAUCUGUGUAUGUGAAAGAAUGAUAACUAUGUUAUGACAGUAGAUUUAAAAAAAAUUUCUCAUUGAUUUUAUUAUAAACCAAGAAAUGUAUUUCUCUGCAGAAAAGUUCUCUGUUGGUUACUUAAAACCAUGCUGAAUUAUCUGGGUAACAUGCACUGCUUUUGUAAUAAGAAAAUAAAGUUAUUUUUAAUUAAAAAAUACAAUGCAUUUUCAAUUCACACAUGAAAGACAUCAUUUGGUACAUUACAUAUGUACAAAAUAUUAAUAUUUUCCAAAAUGUAUUUAAAAGUUUGUUGAGAACUGAGUCUGAAGUUAUUAAAUGAUAUCUAUGUUUCUAGCUAUUGUGUUUUCAGUUAGUGACUAUCAGGUCCUAGCAUUUCAAAGUCAGUGGCAUUGUUCCAACUGUGCAAUGUUACUAGUGUAGACAUUUAUUCAUUGAUUUAGAAACUUUUACCGACUGCCCUGAUGAUUGCCAGGUAACCUCAAGCCAGUUCCGGGAAGCUGUAGGCAAGUCAGGGUAAACAAGCUUCCUUAAGCUGGGGGCGGGGCUACUAAGCCUCCUUACGUCUUAGAGGUUACUGAGGAUAGGCCCUUCCCUCCUGGUUGACUUUUGAGCCCACCUGUUAUUUCCUUGAUAACACCAGAAAGGCAAGUGCAUUAGGAUUUCAAUUACUGUAUGAAAAGGUGGAGAUACCCCGCAUUGUUGAGGUCUGUUAAGGUAAAGCUACUUCCUCUUGAUCAAAAGAAGAGGAUGUAAGUUUUACCUCUCCCCUAGGUAGAGAACUCACAUUGUAAGCCUCAUAAAACAUUAUACACUACUGUCUUCUUUGAAGUAGAGUUAGCCACCUGGACCUGUCAACCACCCAGCCAGUAGUCCACCCCCCAGGAAAUUUAUUUUCUUGAUGCGAUAUUAAGGAGAGGGAAGAAGAACCAGUUAAAUCAGGCCACAGGACAAGAUAUCUAAGUCCCUCCUUUGGAGCAGACACAGCACUUCUGUCAGACACUGCAGUAGCCUUCUGCUCUCAGAACAUACACCUUUCCCUUCCAUCCUUCUUUCUAAGAGGCCAAAAGUAGAAGCAUGCCUUGCAGGCACUCUGGGAAGUAUCCCAUCCCCACCCCAUACAGCUGCUUGUCAACCUCCAUUGCAUACCAUAUGGCUUUAUUUCUUUCUCUUCACCACCUCCCUCCUCUUGGCAGCUUCUUGCUUUGUUGUUUUUCCUUCAAACUAAUAAAAUUGUUUUCUUCUGAUUUGGUUUUAAAAUUCUUUUAUCAAUUAGACUAGGAGCACAAAAAGAAAUUCCCUGGUCUCUUGUAAUGAUUGAAUGUUCAUUCUUCAGUAGUGAGCACAAGCCUGAGAUAGCUACUAAGUGGAAGCCGAUCUGGUAUGGGUGAAUGUACUGAGGCAUUCAAAACAAGGCUGCUGGGGCUCACAGAAGGCUGGGCUCAGAACAAGGCCACCACUGCUUACGAGGAAGACUUAUCAGUUAUUUAUAAUGAGUUCUAGCUACAAUGUGUGGAUGCCAGUUCAGAGCAGGUGGCUCUGCUGGGCCAUUUCUGAUUCAAGGUGAAGACUGUCGUUCCUUCUACAAUACUUCACUUACUCCAGGACACUGUAGCAUUGAAGCAAUGGCUGACUGCCCAUGCAGGAACUCCUACCAGCUCAUAAAAGCAGCCCUUUCAGUAGUCUAUUGGUAGACAUUGUCUCCCUCUGUCUUGCGCACCAUCAAAGUACUGAAGUGUGUCUGAGAAACUCGUUUUCGGCCUUCUUGUGUCUUUGGUACAUCCAUUCACAGCCUGCAUUAUCACCUGCCUGUCAAUACUGCCCCUGACACAGAAGAGAAUUUAGAAAAGUGAGGAGGGACUGACACUCGGUUUGGUCUUUGUUGGGAAAGUACCAUUGAUCGGCACCCCAUCUUCUGUCCUUAAAGCUUGAGAGUUGUAGGCAGUGGACAGUAAACACUGGCAAAUAUUGACAGAGGUCAAGGUCAUGGCAGGACUGUUUGGCCCAUGCCUGCUGAGGAAGGAUAAACCUGCAGUUUAAAGUGAUUGGUCGGCUGUUCUGCGUUUCUAGAAACUGGGAAAUCUAUUAAAAAUAUUUUUUUGUGGUUGCAAAGCCACUGGAUAUACAGUCUUAUUUCUGUGGUUCUUUCCUGUUACAGGGUAGACCCUUUUUUUUUUUUUUCAUAUUUGUUCCAGGGAAAAAAUAGAACUCCUUCUCUAGAAGGAAGUUAUUCUGAUCUUAAGUGGUGUGGUUAGAGGGAUGCUUUUGACUAAAAUCAGGGUUUAAUUCCAUCCUGGGUCAAGUAACUUCUCCCCAAAUGCGUAGUUGGAUUGUGUGCUGUCUGAUGUGGCUGAUUUCUUCUUUAGAUGUAUAACUUUAGAAAUUCCUGGAGAAUGAGGGAUGGUGAUACUCAUACAAUGGAAGAGAGAGGGCAAGGAGUGAGGAUUAGUCCAGCAAAAGGGCUGUCCAAAACUUCCUCCAGUGGACAAUAGUGUAUUUG